GACGAACCGUGCGAACGUUAUUCGGAAUCACUGGGCUUAAAGCGCGUGUAGGCGGAUGGGAACGUCGGUAGUUGAAAGCCCCCGGCUCAACCGGGGAAGUGGUGCCGAAACGACCCGUCUGGAGGGACGUAGGGGGACCUGGAACUUCCGGUGGAGCGGUGAAAUGCGUAGAGAUCGGAAAGAACACCAACGGCGAAAGCACUCUGCUGGGCCGACACUGACACUGAGAGACGAAAGCUAGGGGAGCGAACGGG
rnacentral:rRNA from 1 species